rnacentral:rRNA from 1 species
AACGUAGGUGGCGAGCGUUAUCCGGAAUUACUGGGCGUAAAGCGUGCGCAGGCGGUUAUGUAAGACAGUUGUGAAAUCCCCGGGCUCAACCUGGGAACUGCAUCUGUGACUGCAUAGCUAGAGUACGGUAGAGGGGGAUGGAAUUCCGCGUGUAGCAGUGAAAUGCGUAGAUAUGCGGAGGAACACCGAUGGCGGAAGGCGGGUCUCUGGGCCGAUA